rnacentral:tRNA from 1 species
GGUUCCAUAGUGUCGUGGUUAUCAAGUCUGCUUUACACAUAGGUCCUGGGUUCAAUCCCCAGUGGAACCA